CGACCCCAGGUCAGGCGGGACUACCCGCUGAGUUUAAGCAUA
rnacentral:rRNA from 44 species